rnacentral:sRNA from 1 species
AGAAGUGAUAGCAACAUUUAUUGAUGAAGCGCAAAAAAUCUGUCGUGUAAUUGUUUCGGAAGAUCAAU